GCGUGAGUGAAGAAGGCCUUCGGGUUGUAAAGCUCUUUCGGCGGGGACGAUGAUGACGGUACCCGCAUAAGAAGCCCCGGCAAACUUCGUGCCAGCAGCCGCGGUAAUACGAAGGGGGCUAGCGUUGUUCGGAAUUACUGGGCGUAAAGCGCGCGUAGGCGGUGAUCUUUGUCAGAGGUGAAAGCCUGGGGCUCAACUCCAGAAUUGCCUUUGAAACGGGAUUGCUUGAGUCCGAGAGAGGAUGGCGGAAUUCCUAGUGUAGAGGUGAAAUUCGU
rnacentral:rRNA from 1 species